rnacentral:rRNA from 1 species
UACAGAGGUCUCAAGCGUUGUUCGGAUUCAUUGGGCGUAAAGGGUGCGUAGGCGGCGGAGUAAGUCAGGUGUGAAAUCUCGGGGCUCAACCCCGAAACUGCACUUGAUACUGCUUCGCUCGAGUACUGGAGAGGAGACUGGAAUUUACGGUGUAGCAGUGAAAUUCGUAGAUAUUCGCAAGAACACCAGUGGCGAAGGCGGCUUACUGGUCCGGUUCUGACGCUGAGGCGGCGAAAGCGUGGGGAGCAAACAGG